rnacentral:ncRNA from 1 species
CCAUCAAAUACUGCAUCGACUGAUCACCGAUGGCUCAACGGUAAGCGACGGUACAACUGAACACAGACAGCUGCCUUUUGAGCGGGAAGCUGCAGACCGGAAUGGAGGAAACUCCACAAGGACUGCGGCUAGGUUUCUAUUGCCAUCUGGCGGCUGCCCA